GCGGGUACAAUACUGCAAACCGUCAGGUCGUUGCGCGCGAUCGGGUGCCGGACUCGAAAUCCGGUGUACGGUUCUCCGUACCGUGGGUUCGAAUCCCACCCUUCCGCC
rnacentral:tRNA from 1 species